rnacentral:rRNA from 1 species
AUUGCCCUAGUAACGGCGAGUGAAGCGGCAACAGCUCAAAUUUGAAAUCUGGCCUUCUGGUCCGAGUUGUAAUUUGUAGAGGAUGAUUUUGGUUAGGUACCUUCCGAGUUCCUUGGAACAGGACGCCUUAGAGGGUGAGAGCCCCGUACGGUUGGAUGCCGAGCCUCUGUAAAUCUCCUUCGACGAGUCGAGUAGUUUGGGAAUGCUGCUCUAAAUGGGAGGUAAAUUUCUUCUAAAGCUAAAUACCGGCCAGAGACCGAUAGCGCACAAGUAGAGUGAUCGAAAGAUGAAAAGCACUUUGAAAAGAGGGUUAAAUAGUACGUGAAAUUGUUGAAAGGGAAGGAUUUAUGACCAGACCUUUGCCUUGCGGAUCAUCCGGUGUUCUCACCGGUGCACUUCGCUUGGUUGAGGCCAGCAUCAGUUUUGGCGGCGGGAUAAAGACUUCAGGAACGUGACUCCCCCGGGAGUGUUAUAGCCUGCUGUGUAAUACCGCCGCUGGGACUGAGGACCGCGCUUCGGCUAGGAUGCUGGCAUAAUGGUCAUCAAUCACCCGUCUUGAAACACGGACCAAGGAGUCGAACAUUUAUGCGAGUUUUUGGGUGUUAAACCCUCAAGCGUAAUGAAAGUGAACGGAGGUGAGAGCCCUUACGGGUGCAUCAUCGACCGAUCCUGAUGUCUUCGGAUGGAUUUGAGUAAGAGCAUAACUGUUCGGACCCGAAAGAUGGUGAACUAUGCGUGGAUAGGGUGAAGCCAGAGGAAACUCUGGUGGAGGCUCGCAGCGGUUCUGACGUGCAAAUCGAUCGUCAAAUCUGCGCAU